GUCAGGAUGGCCGAGCGGUCUAAGGCGCCAGACUCAAGGUUUACCUUGCCCUCUAUAACGCGGGUGUGAGUUGUUCUGGUCCUCUCUGAGGGCGUGGGUUCGAAUCCCACUUCUGACA
rnacentral:tRNA from 1 species